rnacentral:lncRNA from 1 species
CAUCAAUAUUAAUUUAAUGACAUUCCAUAAGAAUAAAAAUCCAAUAGGACCAAGAUUUUAGCAGUUCACACCCGGUCAGAGGGACAAACAGAGGAACAGGAUAUCUGAAUUGGAAAAUUGCAAGGUUUCCCACUGCCCAAGCUGUUUAAGUACUGGUAUCACAACAAGUACCAAGACGGAAGAUAUAUGAAGGCCAAGCUAAUAAGUAGUUACUUCAAAUUAAUUUGAAUAGAUAUAUCAACAAAGCAGUGAAUGUUCUUUAAACUGUACAUCUGUAGAAAAGAGUUCAGGUUCAUCAGCUGGCAAUAUGACAUUAAAGUAUACAAAAUUUCACACAAAAUACAAGAAAGAACUAUUUUUUUUCCAAUGGGCAAAUGUAUAUCCUUUUAUUAAUAUUUAAUAUUUCUACUAGUUCUUAGAAGUUUUUGUGAAAUUAAAUAUAAUUUCCAGUUUAAAGGACUAUUGUAUACAAGACAAAAAUUUAUGUUUUGAAAUAAAAAUCAUGCGUAGAUAAAUGUUAAUAAAGGUGAUCAGAGGAUUAAGAAAUAAUUUUAGUAUCACUCCUGGACCUCAUUCCAUAAACAAGUUAUUACUAUUGUAAUCUUGUCACUAUGACAAUUACCAUGGUAACAGGGCUGAGCAAGAAAUCAAGGUCUUUAUGGUAGCUGCAAUGGGCUUGGACAAAGUUACCAUAAUUGCAAGUCGUCAUAAUAAUGGCUCAAUAAUUAUAGGGAUAUUAAAUUGCAUUUAUUGUUAUCUUACUCAAAGUUUUGAAAUGGGUUUCCUCUGCAAAAAUAUAUAAAUAGACUAUAUUUU